rnacentral:rRNA from 1 species
AUUGAACGCUGGCGGCUGGCCUAACACAUGCAAGUCGAACGAGUGGCGGACGGGUGAGUAAUGUCUGGGAAACUGCCUGAUGGAGGGGGAUAACUACUGGAAACGGUAGCUAAUAACGCAUACCAUCGGAUGUGCCAAGAUGGGAUUAGCUAGGAGGUGGGGUAAAGGCUCACCUAGGCGACAAUCCCUAGCUGGUCUGAGAGGAUGACCAGCCACACUGGAACUGAGCAACGGUCCAGACUCCGACGUGAGGCAGCAGUGGGGAAUAUUGCACAAUGGGCGCAAGUCUGAUGCAGCCAUGCCGGGUGUAUGAAGAAGGCCUUCGGGUUGUAAAGUACUUUCAGCGGGGAGGCGUUACCCGCAGAAGAAGCACCGGCUAACUCCGUGCCAGCAGCCGCGGUAAUUC